UCUGAUUGGUUGCUAUGGGCAACUGGGCAACUUUUCCUUUGAACAGCUCAGGCAUUUUCUAUAUGAUGGACCUUGGACGUACAUACUAAUGACUUCAGGAAUAUUCCGCUUAUCAUGCCUGUACAUUGGAUGGACUUAGAGUGGCAUCCGGGUUCAUCCUCUCAUGGAAUCCACCUUGAGAUGUAAUCGGGAUGACAGGUGUCCCUGCUCCGAGGGAAGGACCUGCUCAGCUGUGAUCUGGAGACAAACAUGGGAAGACGCAGGAACACCACCAGGGGGGAAGGGACAGGACCCGGAGACCAGGAGAGGAGACGGCCGCUGCCAGCAAUCACACAGCAGGUUGGGAGCCAAGUGCGUCAGACACCUCCAUGAUGUCCUAUAUCCCACAGCAAUGUCCUACCAGAAGAACCCCGACCUCCGCCAGGAGAUGGAAAUUAUGGCGGAAAGGCGGAUAAAAUGUGACAC